GCCUUUGCACCUAUUCGUGAUAUAUGCGGCUUUGCUAGAUGUACCUUCAUCUAUGGUUCUUCCAAGUGUGGUUGAUGAUCCGUAGGAGCUACCGGCAUCAUCUGAUGCAUCUGGAAUAAAUAAGAGAGGAGAAGAAUUCUAGCUUGGAUAGACAGCUGGAAGAUGCUAAGACUAAUAUGCAAGAGGAGAUCAUUCUGUUACAAAGAUAGAAGGAACACACCCUUUAUUGUUUACAAAAUUCAAAUGCUUCAGUCAAGAGUCUUGAAUGUGAGUUAGAGUAGCAAAGAGAAAACAACUAUAUUCUACAGCCUGCCAAUGAAGA